rnacentral:rRNA from 1 species
GGGGAGUGAAAAAGAACCUGAAACCGUGUACGUACAAGCAGUGGGAGCACAGGUUUACCUGUGUGACUGCGUACCUUUUGUAUAAUGGGUCAGCGACUUAUAUUCUGUAGCAAGGUUAACCGAAUAGCCAAGGCGCACAGCCUGACGCGUCAGCGAAAAGACGCCGGAAAUGACCGCCUGGGAGGCGAUCACCGUCGCCAGCGCGGCCAGAAUCAGCAGCGGAAUUAACGCCCAGUCCGGCGCCAACAGGAAGAAGGGGUUUUUAA